rnacentral:rRNA from 1 species
GAUGAACGCUAGCGGAAGGCUUAAUACAUGCAAGUCGAGCGGUAGGUGGCUUCGGCCAUUGAGAGCGGCGCACGGGUGAGUAACGCGUACAUGACCUGCCUGUCAGAAGGGGAUAGCCCUGGGAAACUGGGAUUAAUACCCUAUGGUAUUGAUAUUAUGAAUGAUAUCAAUUAAAGUUGAGGCGCUGACAGAUGGAUGUGCGUCUGAUUAGCUAGUUGGUAGGGUAACGGCCUACCAAGGCGACGAUCAGUAGGGGGCGUGAGAGCGUGGUCCCCCACACGGGUACUGAGACACGGACCCGACUCCUACGGGAGGCAGCAGUAAGGAAUAUUGGUCAAUGCCCGCAAAGGGUGAACCAGCCAUUCCGCGUGGAGGAUGAAGGCCCUAUGGGUUGUAAACUGCUUUUCCAGGGAGAGAAACUUACGCACGUGUUGCGUGACUGACGGUACCCUGGGAAUAAGCAUCGGCUAACUCCGUGCCAGCAGCCGCGGUAAA